GACGAACGCUGGCGGCGUGCUUAACACAUGCAAGUCGAACGGACAGGCCCUGCUUUUGUGGGGUGCUCGAGUGGCGAACGGGUGUGUAACACGUGAGUAACCUGCCCUUGACUUUGGGAUAACUUCAGGAAACUGGGGCUAAUACCGGAUAGGAGCUCCUGCUGCAUGGUGGGGGUUGGUAAGUUUCGGCGGUAGGGGAUGGAAUCGCGGCUUAUCAGCUUGUUGGUGGGGUAGUGGCUUACCAAGGCUUUGACGGGUAGCCGGCCUGAGAGGGUGACCGGCCACAUUGGGACUGAGAUACGGCCCAGACUCCUACGGGAGGCAGCAGUGGGGAAUAUUGCACAAUGGGCGGAAGCCUGAUGCAGCAACGCCGCGUGCGGGAUGACGGCCUUCGGGUUGUAAACCGCUUUCGCCUGUGACGAAGCGUGAGUGACGGUAAUGGGUAAAGAAGCACCGGCUAACUACGUG
rnacentral:rRNA from 1 species